UACGUAGGUGGCAAGCGUUGUCCGGAAUUAUUGGGCGUAAAGCGCGCGCAGGCGGUUCUUUAAGUCUGAUGUGAAAGCCCACGGCUCAACCGUGGAGGGUCAUUGGAAACUGGAGAACUUGAGUACAGAAGAGGAAAGCGGAAUUCCACGUGUAGCGGUGAGAUGCGUAGAGAUGUGGAGGAACACCAGUGGCGAAGGCGGCUUUCUGGUCUGUAACUGACGCUGAGGCGCGAAAGCGUGGGGAGCAAACAGG
rnacentral:rRNA from 1 species